UCGCAAUAAUACAGUUGGUGGCGGUAAUGCACCAUAGUGGAUGCCAACCGCCAAUAAAUCGGAAAGAAGAAGAAGAACAAACGCCUGCUCUUUGCACCGGAAGUAGUUUUUCCAUCAACUCUCUGCGUCGAUAACUGACCAAACGUCACCGCGAUAAUGCGAGGGUUUUAAUGGACGGUCACUGCCUGUUUCUCUCUUGUGUUUUAAAUUACUUCCAGAAAGAGCAUUUCUGACCGAUGAAUUUAGCACGAGCCAUUCCAGGCCUUUUGUUCUGCAUCUUUUUCGUGGGAUCUUGUUUCACAAAUAAGUAUGUAUUGUCUAUAUUGAAGUUUACAUACCCCACCCUUUUCCAGGGGUGGCAAACCUGCUUUGGAGCUCUUCUGCUGUGGGUGAUGGGGAAACUGGGAUGGGUGGAGAUAAAUAGUUUUCCCAGAUCUGCAGCAGUGUCCUGGCUUCCAGGAUCAGUCCUCUUUUUGGGGAAUAUAUAUGGUGGAUCCAAAGCCUUGUCCAUCCUGCCUAUCCCGUUCUUUUUCGUGUUGCAAAAUGUGUCAGAAGUGGUCUUUUCUCUUCUUGUUAGAGUCACUCAAAAAGAGAGAUCAUCAUGGAUGAAGACCUUCAGUGAAAACCUGAUGCUGAUGUCAGCUAUUACUCUUGCACUUCAAAAUCGUCAGUUUGGGCUAAAUGGUUAUGUCUGGGCUGUCAUCCACUUUUGCUGUGUUGGGUCAUACAAAGUGUUCCAGAGGACUUCAAAGUCUAGCCAUCUGAGUGACCUUGAACAACAGUUAAUCAACUACGUGGUCAGCAUCGUGCUUUUGGCUAUUGCAGCACAUCCAACAGGUGAUCUUUUUGGUGCUCUGGAUUUUCCCUUCCGUAAGUCCUACAAGUUCUACAGUGGAUGCUUUGCCAGUGCUAUACUUGCCUUUUUUCUGGUGCUAGCAUCAGUAAAGUUGAAGAGUGGACUUUCUUUGGUGCACUGUGCAGCUUGGCUGUUUCUGGCCAAGAUACUGGCUUCUGGUAUGUCCGUUUUUAUAUUCAGCACAGAACUCGGACCCGUAACAUUAUGCUGCAUCCUUACAAACCAUGCUGGUUUACCGUCCAAACGAGAUCACAUGGGAUUAACUUUCACAGGUUUCCCAAAAAUAAAGCCAUGAAAAAGCAGUGGGAGACAGCUGUGCGACGGGAAGGGUUUUCUGCUACUCCGUCAUCCAUGCUCUGCAGUGAACACUUCAGAACGGAGGAUUUUGACAGAACAGGUCAGACAGUCAGGAUCAGAGAGGGAGCUGUUCCUUCAGUCUUCAGUUUCCCAGCUCAUCUCCACCAGAAGGAGAGAAACCAAUUGGAGAUUAUACUGAGAGUGCUAAGAACAGGUCUGUUGCUUGUGUGGUAAUUGUUCACAAGAAAGCUGAAUGAAGAAAACUUCCUGGCCACGCGUGCAAAGAAUGUGAGAUUGUAAGUAAGGUCUUGUUCAUCAAAAUAUAUAUUCUCUGACACUGCACCAAAUGCAGUCUCCUCCGAAAGUAUUAAACCGGCAAGGCCUGUUCUUUUGCUUUUGUUGUAUACUGAAGACAUUUGGGUUUGGGAUCAAAACAACAUGAAUGAAAGAUCAUGUCAGCAGUACCACGACCACUACGAAAACCACAACGAGACUCAGGGUACACUCUUCCGGUUACAUCAUUAAUCAAUCAAUUCUGGCUAAGAUCUUUCCUACUAUAGAGAGUAAUGAUAUGCCACGGUGAUUGUCACACUGGGAUUGGCUUCCUUUGUGCUUGUAGAGAUGGAUGAUGGACGCAUCAUUCAGGUCUUGGGCCACUUGACCCUUCCUCCAGAAGGCACCAAAUAACUUGAUUAGUCCCAUUGCCAUGUGUGCACCUCCACACUUGUACACCUCUAAAGGGAUUCCGUCAGGACCAGGCACCUUUCUGCUUGACAGCUGCUUGAUAGCUUUUGCAACCUCUGCAUGACUUGACUCUGCACUGAGCUGUUCCAGAAUAGGAAGCUGUGGUGUGUCCUCUAGUGCAUUGUUGAUUGCUUGUUCAACAGCACAUUGAAGUGUUCUGCUCCUCCUGCCAGUAUUUCAUCCUUGUCAGUUAGAAGUGUGUUACCAUCAGCUGCUAGAAUGGGGGUGGAUCCAUUGGCACGUGGACCAUAAACAGCUUUAAGACCAUCAAAGAGGGCUCAUGUUAUGUUUGUUGGCCGCAUCCUGCAAUUCAGUGUUUUUUUUUUCUUCCUGCCGUCUGUUUUUCAUUGCUCUGAGGCACUUUUGGGCCAAGCAUUUUUGUUCCAAAUAGGUAUUUCUUUUAGAAGAGGAUGAUUUGUCUCCUAUGUACUUGCAUGGCAUCUACAGUGGUGCUUAAAAGUUUGUGAACCCUUUAGAAUUUUUUAUAUUUCUGCAUAAAUAUGACCUAAAACAUCAGAUUUUCACACAAGUCCUAAAAGUAGAUAAAGAGAACCCAGUUAAACAAAUGAGACAAAAAUAUUAUACUUGGUCAUUUAUUUAUUGAGGAAAAUGAUCCAAUAUUACAUAUCUGUGAGUGGCAAAAGUAUGUGAACCUUUGCUUUCAGUAUCUGGUGUGCAGCAAUAACUGCAACUAAACAUUUGUGGUAACUGUUGAUCAGUCCUGCACACCGGCUUGGAGGAAUUUUAGCCCAUUCCUCCUUACAGAACAGCUUCAACUCUGGGAUGUUAGUGGGUUUCCUCACAUGAACUGGUCCUUCCACAACAUUUUGAUUGGAUUAAGGUCAGGACUUUGACUUGGCCAUUCCAAAACAUUAACUUUAUUCUUCUUUAACCAUUCUUUGGUAGAAUGACUUGUGUGCUUAGGGUCAUUGUCUUGCUGCAUGACCAUCCUUCUCUUGAGAUUCAGUUCAUGGACAGAUGUCCUGGCAUUUUCCUUUAGAAUUCACAUAAUUCAGAAUUUGGACAGAUGUCCUGGCAUUUUCCUUUAGAAUUCACAUAAUUCAGAAUUCAUUGUUCCAUCAAUGAUGGCAAGCCGUCCUGGCCCAGAUGCAGCAAAACAGGCCCAAACCAUGAUACUACCACCACCAUGUUUCACAGAUGGGAUAAGGUUCUUAUGUUGGAAUGCAGUGUUUUCCUUUCUCCAAACAUAACGCUUCUCAUUUAAACCAAAAAGUUUUAUUUUGGUCUCAUCCCUCCACAAAACAUUUUUCCAAUAGCCUUCUGGCUUGUCCAUGUGAUCUGUAGCAAACGGCAGACGAGCAGCAAUGUUCUUUUUGGAGAGCAGUGGCUUUCUCCUUGCAACCCUGCCAUGCACACCAUUGUUGUUCAGUGUUCUCCUGAUGGUGGACUCAUGAACAUUAAUGUUAGCCAAUGUGAGAGAGGCCUUCAGUUGUUCAGAAGUUACCCUGCGGUCCUUUGUGACCUCGCUGACUAUUACACGCCUUGCUCUUGGAGUGAUCUUUAUUGGUCGACCACUCCUGGGGAGGGUAACAAUGGUCUUGAAUUUCCUCCAUUUGUACACAAUCUGUCUGACUGUGGAUUGGUGGAGUCCAAACUCUUUAGAGACUGUUUGUAUGGGAGAAAAACCACGGCCAUUUUAAAGCUGAGAAAAGAGGAAAAUUGAUCAGAGCCAUAGCAUAAGCACUGGGCAUAGCACAUAAUUUGGAUUGUCCUGAAAAACAAACUGCUGGUGUACUAACAAUCAAAUAUUGAACAGGUGAACCAAAGAAAACAGCAGUAGUUUCUGGCAAACAUUGUGAGAGCUGUGAAGAAAAACCCAAAGAUCAGAUUGGCCACAAAGGUUCUAAUACCAAUAUGAACCUCUACCAGAGUGAUGGAAGACCAAAGUGUGGAGAAAGAAAGGAUCUGCUCAUGAUCCAAAACAUACAAACUCACUCACUGGGAAAGUAUGGUGAAGGUAGUGUCAUGGCUUGGGCUUGCAUGGCUGCUUCUGGAUUGGGCUCACAAAUCUUUAUUGAUGGUAGCAGCAGAAUUAAUUCAGUCUACAGAAAUAUUGUCUGCCAAUUUAGAGAAAUCUAUCCAAUUUAAUUGGGAAAAACUUCAUCAUGCAGCAAGACAAUGACCCAAAACACACUGCCAGCACAACAAAAGACUUCACACAGAUUUAAUACUUGUCAUUUUUAGGGCAUACCUAACAACGUGUUUUCUUUCUCUCCCCCCCGCCCCCCCAUCUGUCCCUCUGAGUUACAUAUUGAUCCUGGGAUUGAGAUGCUGGCCUCUUCUGCCCCUCGGACCUGCUUGAUCCAUCCUGGUGCCCUGUGUCUGGUCGGAGUUUUAUCGCCCCACUCCUGUGAAGGACGGCCCCAUGAGGACAGUUGAGGGUUAUACCUGUUAAAACUGUUAAUAUUAUAGUCAGGCUGUCUGUUGUUGCCCAAAUGAGGAUGGGUUCCCUUUUGAGUCUGGUUCCUCUCGAGGUUUCUUCCUCAUGUCGUCUGAGGGAGUUUUUCCUUGCCACCGUCGCCACAGGCUUGCUCAUUGGGGAUAGAUUAGGGAUAAAAUUAGCUCAUGUUUUAAGUCGUUCAAAUUCUGUAAAGCUGCUUUGCGACAAUGUUUAUUGUUAAAAGCGCUGUACAAAUAAACUUGAUUUGAUUUGAUUUGAUUCAUCAAGGUAAAAAGUGGAAAAUUUUUUAGAUUGGCCAACUCAAGUCACCAGACCUUACCCUGAUUGAGCAUAUGUUUCACCUCAUGAAAAGGAGACUGAAGGAAGAAAAACAAAAACAAUGACUAAAAUAAGCUGUACUACAAGCCUGGAAAAGCAUCACAAAAUGAGAAUGCAACGGUUUAGUGAUGUCAGUGGGUCACCAGCUUGAUUCAGUUAUUGCAACCAAGGAAUAAGCAACAAAAUAUUAAGUGUUACUUACUUUAUUGGGGCGGCACAGUGGUGUAGUGGUUAGCGCUAUCACCUCACAGCAAGAAGGUCCGGGUUCAAGCCCUGUGGCCGGCGAGGGCCUUUCUGUGCAGAGUUUGCAUGUUCUCCCCAUGUCUGCGUGGGUUUCCUCCGGGUGCUUCAGUUUCCCCCACAGUCCAAAGACAUGCAGGUUAGGUUAACUGGUGACUCUAAAUUGACCGUAGGUGUGAAUGGUUGUCUGUGUCAGCCCUGUGAUGACCUGGCGACUUGUCCAGGGUGUACCCCCGCCUUUCACCUGUAGUCAGCUGGGAUAGGCUCCAGCUUGCCUGCGACCCUGUAGAACAGGAUAAAGCGGCUAGAGAUGAGAUGAGAUGAAUGAGACAACACACACACCUAAAAAUGAGUGGUCUGCCACUCAAGGUGUCAUGUUGUUCAAAACAACUAGAUGUACAUAUCAGGAAAUAAAAGCUGAAAUUCUGAACUCUGAGUUCUAUCUAGUUCUUGAUGUUGUACAGUCCUUUGCUUAGCUGUUUGCUGCUUUAUGAAUGAAUAAAUGCUCUAUAAAUGAAUAAAUUUGAUUUGAGUUGACAUCUCAUUUUUUUGGACAGACUGCUGCUUUGGCUACAACCCCCUCUCUCAUGUGGUACACUCCCUAACCACUCAGCUAUCAGGUCGGCCCCCCCCGGGUGGCAUUUCUGUGGAAAUGAAUAACUGACUCCUUUCCAGUUCUACUGAUCGACAAACAAACCUUGACAAAAGUAAACAACAACCAGCGGCUGGACGAUAAUGUAUGGCUGUACAUGCCAUCGCUGGUCAGAUUCGACAGGGACUGACAUUGUUUUUGCACAAGUACACACCAACUCCACAUUAAUCUUAGUGACCUCCAGUUGGCAUAACUGGGUGUCAAUACUGCCGACGUGAAUAACAAUCGUAUUGCAUUUAUGCUUAUCCUUAGCCUGUAAUUUCAAAUUUCACCCAACAUCACUUGCUCUGGCCCCAGAGAACAUUUGACUAUGGUCGCUGAGGUCACUAACUUCAGGUUUCUCAGACUAGAGUUGCCAAUGAGAGAGUUUGUUUCUCAGCAUGUGUGUUGUGUGGAGAACCUGUUAGAAAUGUGAACAGAUAGGUGGUGAACUGUGGGCUUUUGCUCAAGACUAUGCUUCUUAUUGAAAAAAAAAAUAAGCCUAUAAUAGUGAUGCAUGAUUGGUAAUGCUUCCUUGGACCACUUUUGAAUGCCAAAGACCAGAAGUUUUUCCUCCCGUACAAAGACUGCAAGCGGAGGCCAUCCACAUCGAAUCUGCUUUAAUCAGAUCUUUUUGACAGAUCUUCGAUUAAGGUACGUAAAUCCAUUCAUCAUGGCACAACUUCAGCUUGUUCAGUGUAGGAUGUUUAGUCAUUCUUUUUCCAUCAUUAGUAAUGGCUUUAUUUGUGAUAAGUGUAGCUCAGUUAGUGCUCCGACAGACAAAAUUACAGCUUUAGAGGUGUGUAUCCAGACUCGAGAGAGGGUGAGUGAGAACAAGAACAGUGUAGUUUCUGUAGGGGAAAGUCUGGAUGUCCUAGGUGGAGUUAGUAAUCCCCCAACUCUGGCAUUAGUGCCCUCACAGUGGGGUGAAUGGGUGACAACUCGGCGAGAUAAUCACAGAGCCAAGGCUACCGCUGAGGCUCGCCCAUGGGAGCGCCACUCUUCUCCACUUCAUGUGUCAAACAGGGUCACUCUCCUCAGUGAUGCACCUGCUGAGAAACCUGAAAAAGCUCUGGUUAUAGGCGAGUCUAUCAUACGGCACAUGAAAUUAACUAGGCCUUUAGGGGCACCAGCAGCUUUAGUUAGGUAUAUACCAGGAGCCAGGGCGCCGGACAUAGCAUCUUAGGGUCCUAGGCAAGCACAGGUUCUCAAAGAUAGUUAUCCACGUAGGAGCUAACGAUACACGCCUUCACCAAUCUGAGGUUACUAAGAGUAACUUUGGAGAGGUGUUUAAAUUAGCGAAGGCAAUGUCUGAUGCUGUAGUAUGCUCUGGCCCCAUCCCAACACAGCAUGCUGCUUACAGCAGGUUAUGUUCGUUGAACUGCUGGUUGUCCGGGUGGUGCUCUGAAAACAAUGUGGGUUUUAUAGGUAAUUGGACUAAUUUUGAGGGCACUGCUGGCCUGUUAGGGCAGAACGGUAUCCAUCCCACUUGGGAAGGUGCUGUUCUCAUUUCUUGCAGCAUCGCUCAUCGUCUCAAAACAGGCCUAGUUAAUGUAUAACGAUUAAGAGCCAAGGCCAGGGAGCAGAUGAACAGGCUAAACUGACUGUCUGCUAGCUGCACAGUCGUCACUCAGGUUCUAUUAUAUCAAGACUGUGUCUGUUCCCCAAGCUAAACAAAAAAGUAAAAAAUGUUGAGUGUGUUCUAGUAACCUAAUUAAUAUAAAAUUAGAUCAUACUGACUGUACAGCCACUGCCAGCACCUUUGAUCUAAAGGUAGAACUAUUAAAUAUUAGCUUUCUUGCAUCUAAAGCACUAAUUGUUAAUGAACUUAUUAC